CCCAAUGAAGGGAAAAAAUCGAACAAGGGAAAAAAUAGAGCAAGGAAAAAGAUUAUACCGUAUCACGGAAUUCCACCCUAAUGUGUGGCACAUUCGUUCUGUG